rnacentral:rRNA from 1 species
GGGUUGUGAGGUUAAGCGACUAAGCGUACACGGUGGAUGCCCUGGCAGUCAGAGGCGAUGAAGGACGUGCUAAUCUGCGAUAAGCGUCGGUAAGGUGAUAUGAACCGUUAUAACCGGCGAUUUCCGAAUGGGGAAACCCAGUGUGUUUCGACACACUAUCAUUAACUGAAUCCAUAGGUUAAUGAGGCGAACCGGGGGAACUGAAACAUCUAAGUACCCCGAGGAAAAGAAAUCAACCGAGAUUCCCCCAGUAGCGGCGAGCGAACGGGGAGGAGCCCAGAGCCUGAAUCAGUGUGUGUGUUAGUGGAAGCGUCUGGAAAGGCGCGCGAUACAGGGUGACAGCCCCGUACACAAAAAUGCACAUGCUGUGAGCUCGAUGAGUAGGGCGGGACACGUGGUAUCCUGUCUGAAUAUGGGGGGACCAUCCUCCAAGGCUAAAUACUCCUGACUGACCGAUAGUGAACCAGUACCGUGAGGGAAAGGCGAAAAGAACCCCGGCGAGGGGAGUGAAAAAGAACCUGAAACCGUGUACGUACAAGCAGUGGGAGCCUCUUAAUGGGGUGACUGCGUACCUUUUGUAUAAUGGGUCAGCGACUUAUAUUCUGUAGCAAGGUUAACCGAAUAGGGGAGCCGAAGGGAAACCGAGUCUUAACUGGGCGUUAAGUUGCAGGGUAUAGACCCGAAACCCGGUGAUCUAGCCAUGGGCAGGUUGAAGGUUGGGUAACACUAACUGGAGGACCGAACCGACUAAUGUUGAAAAAUUAGCGGAUGACUUGUGGCUGGGGGUGAAAGGCCAAUCAAACCGGGAGAUAGCUGGUUCUCCCCGAAAGCUAUUUAGGUAGCGCCUCGUGAAUUCAUCUCCGGGGGUAGAGCACUGUUUCGGCAAGGGGGUCAUCCCGACUUACCAACCCGAUGCAAACUGCGAAUACCGGAGAAUGUUAUCACGGGAGACACACGGCGGGUGCUAACGUCCGUCGUGAAGAGGGAAACAACCCAGACCGCCAGCUAAGGUCCCAAAGUCAUGGUUAAGUGGGAAACGAUGUGGGAAGGCCCAGACAGCCAGGAUGUUGGCUUAGAAGCAGCCAUCAUUUAAAGAAAGCGUAAUAGCUCACUGGUCGAGUCGGCCUGCGCGGAAGAUGUAACGGGGCUAAACCAUG